rnacentral:pre_miRNA from 1 species
CGGGGGAGGCCGGAUCCUGGGCUGUGUCCCGGCGCCCUGUGCUCCCGGCCUGCGCUGUUGGAUUCGCGCUCCCGCCCCGCAGCCCCCU